rnacentral:rRNA from 1 species
AUGGGAGGGAUGGGCUUUCGAGAUAUCGAACUCUUCAAUCUAGCUCUUCUGGCCCGGCAAGCAUGGCGACUCCUACAGGAACCUAAUUCCCUCAGUGCACGUAUUUUAAAAUCUGUUUAUUACCCUUCUUGUACCAUCUUGGAUGCAGAGAUUGGCAGCAACCCCUCACAAGUAUGGCGAUCAACCAUAGAAGGUCGUGACACACUGAAACUUGGAUUGAUCAACAGGAUUGGCACAGGUGAAGCGGCGGAAAUUUGGAAUGACAACUAG